rnacentral:rRNA from 1 species
UACAGAGGUCCCAAGCGUUGUUCGGAUUCACUGGGCGUAAAGGGCGCGUAGGCGGCUAGAUGUGUCAAAGGUGAAAUCCCUCGGCUCAACUGAGGAACUGCCUUUGAAACUGUCUGGCUUGAGGCCGGGAGAGGGUAGCGGAAUUCCCAGUGUAGCGGUGAAAUGCGUAGAUAUUGGGAGGAACACCAGUGGCGAAGGCGGCUACCUGGACCGGUUCUGACGCUGAGGCGCGAAAGCGUGGGUAGCAAACAGG